rnacentral:rRNA from 1 species
AUCGAAGCAGUGAACUUAAGCCCCAGUAAACGGCGGCCGUAACUAUAACGGUCCUAAGGUAGCGAAAUUCCUUGUCGGGUAAGUUCCGACCCGCACGAAAGGCGUAACGAUUUGGGCACUGUCUCAACAACAGACCCGGUGAAAUUGUAAUUCCGGUGAAGAUGCCGGAUACCUGCGACAGGACGGAAAGACCCCAUGGAGCUUUACUGUAGCUUGACAUUGGGUCUUGGUACUACAUGUACAGGAUAGGUGGGAGGCUUUGAAACCAGGACGCCAGUUUUGG